CCGCUCUCUCGACAAAUGGAAAAACAGCUCUCCUCCAUUAACAUACUCCAUCACAAAACACAAACGAUCCUUUGUCUGGAAGGAAUAUUUCAAGGAUGUUAAAAAAGGAUGUCUGGUGUUUUUCAAUACUCUGCUUUCCGUAAGUGUAUGAGCCACUUCAUCCUUUGCAAUAAUGACUUCUUUUUUCAAAAUCUUCAUAGCAUAGUAUUUCCCACUAGCCUUCUCUCGGACCAAGAUAACUUUGCCAAACGUGCCUUUGCCCAGUAGUUUUAAAUAGUCAAAGUCAUUCAUUGUCUUUCUUUUAUGAUGAGUCGUUGAAGCAUCCAUCUCUUCUUCACCUAUAUUGUCUAUCUGUGAAGUUGGACUACAGUUCAUCCUUUCCUCUUCCUGCCUCUGAAGUCUGUCUGCUACAGCCUGGAUUGCUUCUGUCCAUUCUUCCCGUUCCUCUGGAGUGUCUACGUGGAACGUCCUCUCUAUGACAGUGGUCCACUGAAGACAUCUGAUAAUGAAUGUGUUUGGCUUUGGUCGCUCUGUUUUCAUUAGCUGACAUUUUGCCACUGAAAAGUUGUUGAGUGGAUAUGGCAGAUCCACAUCCUGGGGCUUCUCCUUAUAGCCUAUGAAAGAACCAUCUGUCUUUAGCAGGAAAUAUCUUGGCCGCCAGUUUUUUA
rnacentral:lncRNA from 1 species